AUGAACGCUGGCGGCGUGCCUAAUACAUGCAAGUCGAGCGAACGGACGAGAAGCUUGCUUCUCUGAUGUUAGCGGCGGACGGGUGAGUAACACGUGGAUAACCUACCUAUAAGACUGGGAUAACUUCGGGAAACCGGAGCUAAUACCGGAUAAUAUUUUGAACCGCAUGGUUCAAAAGUGAAAGACGGUCUUGCUGUCACUUAUAGAUGGAUCCGCGCUGCAUUAGCUAGUUGGUAAGGUAACGGCUUACCAAGGCAACGAUGCAUAGCCGACCUGAGAGGGUGAUCGGCCACACUGGAACUGAGAAACGGUCCAGACUCCUACGGGAGGCAGCAGUAGGGAAUCUUCCGCAAUGGGCGAAAGCCUGACGGAGCAACGCCGCGUGAGUGAUGAAGGUCUUCGGAUCGUAAAACUCUGUUAUUAGGGAAGAACAUAUGUGUAAGUAACUGUGCACAUCUUGACGGUACCUAAUCAGAAAGCCACGGCUAACUACGUG
rnacentral:rRNA from 1 species